rnacentral:rRNA from 1 species
GGCGAACGCUGGCGGCGUGCUUAACACAUGCAAGUCGAACGGAAAGGCCCUGCUUGCAGGGUGCUCGAGUGGCGAACGGGUGAGUAACACGUGGGUGAUCUGCCCCUUACUUUGGGAUAAGCCUGGGAAACUGGGUCUAAUACUGGAUAGGACCAUGCUGUAGGUGGUGUGGUGGAAAGAUUAGUUUCGGUAAGGGAUGAGCUCGCGGCCUAUCAGCUUGUUGGUGGGGUAAUGGCCUACCAAGGCGUCGACGGGUAGCCGGCCUGAGAGGGUGGACGGCCACAUUGGGACUGAGAUACGGCCCAGACUCCUACGGGAGGCAGCAGAGGGGAAUAUUGCACAAUGGGCGCAAGCCUGAUGCAGCGACGCCGCGUGGGGGAUGACGGCCUUCGGGUUGUAAACUCCUUUCAGCCAUGACGAAGCCCUUGUGGUGACGGUAGUGGUAGAAGAAGCACCGGCUAACUACGUG